CAGGGGAAGAGGUAGAAGGUGAUCAUCGUCCUACUCUUGUUCCCCAAGCACCCUCAAGCCUUAAGGCUCCUAUGACGAUAUUAAGGAGCCGCAUUCCUAAGAGUGAAUCCGUGAUCUGACAGCAACAACAACUACCACCACCUUUGUCUUUGUCUUCUUGGUUGGAGUUAAU